rnacentral:rRNA from 1 species
CCUACGGGCGGCAGCAGUGGGGAAUAUUGCACAAUGGGCGAAAGCCUGAUGCAGCGAUGCCGCGUGAGUGAGGAAGUAUUUCGGUAUGUAAAGCUCUAUCAGCAGGGAAGAAAAUGAUGGUACCUGACGAAUAAUCCCUGGCUAACUACGUGCCAGCAGCCGCGGUACUACGUAGGGGGCACGCGUUAUACGGAUUUACUGGGUGUAAAGGGAGCGUAGACGGCUAAUCAAGUCAGAAGUGAAAGCCAAGGGCUCAACUUUGGGACUGCUUUUGAAACUGAGUAGCUAGAGUGCAGGAGAGGUGAGCGGAAUUCCUGGUGUAGCGGUGAAAUGCGUAGAUAUUAGGAGGAACACCAGUGGCGAAGGCGGCUUACUGGACUGAAACUGACGUUGAGGCUCGAAAGCGUGGGGAGCAAACAGGAUUAGAUACCCGAGUAGUC